UACGGAAGGCAGCAGUGGGGAAUAUUGCACAAUGGGCGAAAGCCUGAUGCAGCUAUGCCGCGUGUAUGAAGAAGGCCUUAGGGUUGUAAAGUACUUUCAUCGGGGAGGAAAAAACAAAACUAAUAAUUUUAUUUCUUGACGUUACCCGAAAAAGAAGCACCGGCUAACUCCGUGCCAGCAGCCGCGGUAAUACGGAGGGUGCUAGCGUUAAUCAGAAUUACUGGGCGUAAAGAGCACGUAGGUGGUUUUUUUAAAGUCAGAUGUGAAAUCCCUGGGCUUAACCUGGAACUGCAUUUUGAAACUGAAAUACUAGAGUAUCGUAGAGGGAGGUAGAAUUCUAGGUGUAGCGGUGAAAUGCGUAGAUAUCUGGAGGAAUACCUGUGGCGAAAGCGGCCUCCUAAACGAAUACUGACACUGAGGGUGCGAAAGCGUGGGGAGCAAACGAGGGAUUAGAUACC
rnacentral:rRNA from 1 species